rnacentral:lncRNA from 1 species
CUGGGUGAGCAUCUAACGGAGGAGGGAAGCGAGUUCCACAGGAACGGUGCAGCCCUCGAGAAAUCUUGAAGGCGAGCAUCAGAGGUGGGAGUACGUACAGAAGAUAGACGUAAGUCUUCAGCAGAUCGUAAGGGCCUAGACGGGACAUACUUGUGUAUAAGGGAGGAUAGAUAGGUGGGAGCAGCAUUAUGUAGAGAUUUGAAGGCAAGAACCAGAAUUUUAAAUUGAGCUCUAUAUUUUAUAGGAAGCCAAUGUAGGGACUGACAGGG